rnacentral:rRNA from 1 species
GUCUAUGGCCAUACCACCCUGAAUGUGCCGAAUCUUGUCAGAUCUCAGAAGCUAAGCAGGGUAGGGCCUGGUGUUAGUACUUGGAUGGGAGAUGACAUCAAAGUAGCCC